rnacentral:rRNA from 1 species
CUUUACUGUAGCUUUGUAUUGGACUUUGAACAGAUCUGUGUAGGAUAGGUGGGAGGCUUUGAAGCAGGGUCGCUAGAUCUUGUGGAGCCAACGUUGAAAUACCACCCUGGUGUGUUUGAGGUUCUAACCUAGGUCCAUUAUCUGGAUCGGGGACAGUGCAUGGUAGGCAGUUUGACUGGGGCGGUCUCCUCCCAAAGCGUAACGGAGGAGUUCGAAGGUACGCUAGUUACGGUCGGACAUCGUGACGAUAGUGCAAUGGCAUAAGCGUGCUUAACUGCGAGACUGACAAGUCGAGCAGAUGCGAAAGCAGGACAUAGUGAUCCGGUGGUUCUGUAUGGAAAGGCCAUCGCUCAACGGAUAAAAGGUA